rnacentral:rRNA from 1 species
AUUGAACGCUGGCGGCAUGCUUUACACAUGCAAGUCGAACGGUAACAGGCCGCAAGGUGCUGACGAGUGGCGAACGGGUGAGUAAUGCAUCGGAACGUGCCAGUCGUGGGGGAUAACGCAGCGAAAGCUGCGCUAAUACCGCAUACGAUCUAUGGAUGAAAGCGGGGGACCGAAAGGCCUCGCGCGAUUGGAGCGGCCGAUGUCAGAUUAGGUAGUUGGUGAGGUAAAGGCUCACCAAGCCAACGAUCUGUAGCUGGUCUGAGAGGACGACCAGCCACACUGGGACUGAGACACGGCCCAGACUCCUACGGGAGGCAGCAGUGGGGAAUUUUGGACAAUGGGCGCAGGCCUGAUCCAGCAAUGCCGCGUGCAGGAAGAAGGCCUUCGGGUUGUAAACUGCUUUUGUACGGAACGAAACGGCUCUCACUAAUACUGGGGGCUAAUGACGGUACCGUAAGAAUAAGCACCGGCUAACUACGUGCCAGCAGCCGCAGUAAAAC